CCUUACGAAAGUACACUUCCACUUCCUCUCUCCCUGAUUUUGGACAUUGUUGUUACACGUUUUAUUUUAGUUGGCAUUUCCAUGCUUGUGAAUGAGAUCAAGCAUUUUUUCACAUGCUUAUUGGUCAUUUGGAUUUUCUCUGCUGUGAAGUUCCUGUUCAAAGCAUUUUGCUCAUUUUCUCUUGGAUUGUCUCUUAAUUGCUUUGUAGUAGUUCUUUAGAUAUUCUAAAUACGACUCUUUUGUCACCUAUAUGUACCAGAAAUAUCUUCUCACAUUUUGUGGCUUGCCAUUUAGUCCUCUUUAUGGUGUCUUUUCAUGAACAAGAAUUCUUAAUUUUAAUAUAAACAAAGGCAUCAAUGUUUUUUUUCUUUACGAUAGAUGUUUUUUGUCUCUUGUUUAAGAAAUCUUCCCUAUCUUGAAAUUAUGAUGUAUUUUCUUAUCUGACCCUACAGGAGUUUUAGAGUGUGAUUUUACCUGAAAGUCUCUAAUUCACCUGGAGUGAAUUUUGUUUAUGGUGUGAGGUGGGGAUCCAAUCUCUUUUUGCUCCAGCACCAUUUUUUUAAAUUUUUAUUUUUUUAAGAUUUUACUUUUUCUUUUUCCUUGUUCUCCCCAAAGCCCCCUGGUACAUAGUUGCAUAUUUUUAGUUGUGAGUCCUUCUAGCUGUGGCAUAUGGGAUGCCGCCUCAGCAUGGCUUGAUGAGCGGUGCCAUGUCUGAGCCCUGGAUCCGAACCAGUGAAACCCCAGGCUGCCGAAGUGAUUUAACCACUCUGCCAUGGGGCCGGCCCCCAUUUAUUAUUAUUUUUUAAAGUCCUUUCCCCACGGUUUUGCAGUGACCUCUCUCUCAAAGCAGGUAUCCAUACACGUGUGGGUCUGCUCCCAGGCUCUGUGUUCUGCUCAGUGCUCUCUGUCUAUCCUUGCACCAAAUCAUAAUGUCUUAACUAUGGAAACUUCACAGUUGGUCUUAAGAUUUUUUUUCCUUUUUUCUCCCAAAGCCCUCUGGUACAUUGUUGUGUAUUUUUUAGUUGUGGGUCCUUCUAGUUGCAGCAUGUGGGAUGCCGCCUCAGCAUGGCUUGGUGAGCAGUGCCAUGUCCGCGCCCAGGACUCGAACUGGCAAAACCCUGGGCCGCCGAAGCGGAGGGCGUGAAUUAACCACUCGGCCACGGGCCGGCCCCCAAAGAUGCCUCCACAGCACAGCUUGAUGAGCAGUGUGUAGGUCCGCACCCAGGAUCCAAACUGGUGAACCCCUAGCCGCCAAAGCAGGGUGUGAGAACUUAACCACUAUACUGCCCGGCCGGCCCCAAAAGCAUGCACGUUCAACAAGCAUUUAUUGAGCACCUACUGUGUGCCACGCCCUGUGCUAAUCAUGCAGGACCGACAUGUAGUUUGAGGGUCCCACCUGUCCUUCAAGAUGCCUCCUCCUGGAAGCCCUCCCUGCCCACUUCGCUCUCUUAUCAGAGAAUUCCGGAGGCCUGAGAAGCUGCAGCUUAGCCUUGGUGAGCUG
rnacentral:lncRNA from 1 species